UACGGAGGAUGCGAGCGUUAUCCGGAUUUAUUGGGUUUAAAGGGUGCGUAGGCGGACUGUCAAGUCAGCGGUAAAAUUGAGAGGCUCAACCUCUUCCCGCCGUUGAAACUGGUGGUCUUGAGUGGAUGAGAAGUACGCGGAAUGCGUGGUGUAGCGGUGAAAUGCAUAGAUAUCACGCAGAACUCCGAUUGCGAAGGCAGCGUAUCGGCAUCCAACUGACGCUGAGGCACGAAAGCGUGGGGAUCAAACAGG
rnacentral:rRNA from 1 species